rnacentral:tRNA from 1 species
GGGAUAGCUCAGUUGGUAGAGUGUCUGCUUAGCAUGCACAAGGUCCUGAGUUCAAACCCCAGCACCCA